rfam:Schistosoma mattheei strain Denwood, Zambia genome assembly, scaffold: SMTD_scaffold0011190
ACCCAGCUGACGAGUCCCCAAUAGGACAAAACGCGCUUUCUGAAU